UUUCUGUAGGUGAACAUGCGGAAGGAUCAUUACAGAGUUCAGGCCCGAAAGGGUAGACCUCCCACCCAUGUGUAUUAUUACUUUGUUGCUUAGGCGAGCCGCCUUCGGGCAUAGUAUGCUCGCCACAGAAUACCAAAACUCUUUUUAUUAAUGUAGUCCGAGCAAUAUAUAAUAGUUAAAACUUUCAACAACGGAUCUCUUGGUUCUGGCAUCGAUGAAGAACGCAGCGAAAUGCGAUAAGUAAUGUGAAUUGCAGAAUUCAGUGAAUCAUCGAAUCUUUGAACGCACAGUGCGCCCCAUGGUAUUCCGGGGGGCAUGCCUGUUCGAGCGUCAUUUCAACCCUCAAGCUUAGCUUGGUAUUGAGUCUAUGUCAGUAAUGGCAGGCUCUAAAAUCAGAGGAGGCGCCGCUGGGUCCUGAACGUAGUAAUUCUCUCGUUACAGGUACUCGGUGUGCUUCUGCCAAAACCCAAAUUUCUAUGGUGACCUCGAUCAGGUAGACAUAACCGCUGAACUUAAGCAUAUCAAUAAGCCGGAAGAA
rnacentral:rRNA from 1 species